AUCUGGAAAAAGAAUACAUCAAUGAUGAAAAGAGAUCAGUACGUCAGAUUUACCUUCAAGAGAGGAAAGCACGAAAUGUUGCCCCACGAGAAUUUCCUUGAGAUAAUAAAUAAGAUAAUAGACAACAUUAUGUUUGCGUGAUUUUAAAAUAAUGCCGUGUUUAUUUUCAUGGUGGUAACACACGCGCCAAGUUAGUGAAAUUUCACCGGGUAAGUAGGUGAUGGAAUGUAAAAAACUACUUUAUGCUAAACGAACAUUCGUACAUGCAAUCUGCUAUACACGUGUCGUUUGUAUUUUCGUGCGCGUGCCGAUAUAGCUCCCUCGCUAAAUGCACUUUUCUUAAACUUGGCUCUUUUCUUCAAAAUUUUGAAUUGACCUCUUUCCAAAGUCAGAGCCAAGAAUAUUAUUUUCGUUUAUUCAUGAUUAUAAUAUGAUUCGUUUUUGCACUUGUAACUUAGUUUUCGAACGAGUUUUAUACUUUUUCAAUCUCUCCAAGAUUGGAGCCGUUUUAAUGUGUCUCGUGUGCCACCCACAGCGGUUAAAAAAAAGUACGUGAGCGUGAGCACGUCAGAUGCGGUGGAUGCGUUAUUUUGUCUUGUUGCAUCAGCCGUUUUGACUCGGAUUGGUUUGCCUUAGCCGCCUCUCGAGAUGGAGAGGGAAAACGGACCGGGACGAAAGACACGUGCGAGAAAGGCACGCUUCUCGAUGUGGAUGCUUUAAUUUUUUGUCGAGACUCUCACGGUUUAACGCGCAGUUUUAUUCACAAAAUUCAUACUCGCGAUGGAUCCCUCCUUCUCUUUCUCUCUCUGAAUUUAAGUGGAAUGUCAAAGUCAUGCGUGACUUACCGUGCGUGUAACGCUGCGAUUUUCCGAAUAACUCUGUUCGAGGGAGAUUCGAAAAAAAGGAAAAAGAAGACAAGCACCCGCAGUUUAUCACCGACGAAUCGAGGAGGCCG